rnacentral:rRNA from 1 species
AACGCGAAGAACCUUACCUAGACUUGACAUCCCUUGCAUAACCCAGAGAUGGGUGAAGUCCUUCGGGACAAGGUGACAGGUGGUGCAUGGUUGUCGUCAGCUCGUGUCGUGAGAUGUUGGGUUAAGUCCCGCAACGAGCGCAACCCUUAUCAUUAGUUGCUACCAUUAAGUUGAGCACUCUAGUGAGACUGCCCGGGUUAACCGGGAGGAAGGUGGGGAUGACGUCAAAUCAUCAUGCCCCUUAUGUCUAGGGCUACACACGUGCUACAAUGGUGAGUACAAAGAGAUGCAAGACCGCAAGGUGGAGCCAAACUCAAAAACUCAUCCCAGUUCGGAUUGUAGGCUGCAACUCGCCUACAUGAAGCCGGAGUUGCUAGUAAUCGCGAAUCAGCAUGUCGCGGUGAAUACGUUCCCGGGCCUUGUA